AUUGAACGCUGGCGGCAUGCCUUACACAUGCAAGUCGAACGGUAACACGUUAAGCUUCCGAUUGGCGAACUGGUGAGUAAUGUAUCGGUACCUGCCCAGUCGUCUGGCAUAACUUCUCGAAAGACCAGCUAAUACCGCAUACGACCUCAGGUUGUAAUCUGUGGAUCGCAAUUCCUCGCUCGAUUGGAGCUUUCGUGUUCAGAUUAGGUAGUUGGUGAGGUAAAGGCUCACCAAGUCGACGAUCUGUAUCUGGUCUGAGAGGACGACCAGCCACACUGGAACUGAGACACGGCCCAGACUCCUACGGGAGGCAGCAGUGGGGAAUGUUGGACAAUGGGCGAAAGCCUGAUGCAGCAAUGCCGCGUGAGGGAAGAAGGCCUUCGGGUUGUAAAACGCUUUUGUCAGGGAAGAAAAGGUGCUGGAUAAUACCUGGGAAUCAUGACGGUACCUGAAGAAUAAGCACCGGCUAACUACGUG
rnacentral:rRNA from 1 species